rnacentral:rRNA from 1 species
CCUACGGGAGGCAGCAGUGGGGAAUCUUGCGCAAUGGGCGAAAGCCUGACGCAGCCAUGCCGCGUGAAUGAUGAAGGUCUUAGGAUUGUAAAAUUCUUUCACCGGGGACGAUAAUGACGGUACCCGGAGAAGAAGCCCCGGCUAACUUCGUGCCAGCAGCCGCGGUAAUACGAAGGGGGCUAGCGUUGCUCGGAAUUACUGGGCGUAAAGGGAGCGUAGGCGGAUAGUUUAGUCAGAGGUGAAAGCCCAGGGCUCAACCUUGGAAUUGCCCUUGAUACUGGCUAUCUUGAGUACGGAAGAGGUAUGUGGAACUCCGAGUGUAGAGGUGAAAUUCGUAGAUAUUCGGAAGAACACCAGUGGCGAAGGCGACAUACUGGUCCGUUACUGACGCUGAGGCUCGAAAGCGUGGGGAGCAAACAGGAUUAGAUACCCUGGUAGUCCACGCUGUAAACGAUGAGUGCUAGUUGUCGGCAUGCAUGCAUGUCGGUGACGCAGCUACGCAUAAGACACCUCCGCCGUCGGGGAGGUACGGUCGCGAGAAUUAAACUACGAAGAAGUAGUACGGCGNGAGACGUGCCGACGGACGACGACGAGGGAGGUUAGG